ACGUACACUCCUGCGGGAGGCAGCAGUGGGGAAUAUUGGACAAUGGGCGCAAGCCUGAUCCAGCCAUGCCGCGUGAGUGAUGAAGGCCCUAGGGUUGUAAAGCUCUUUCACCGGUGAAGAUAAUGACGGUAACCGGAGAAGAAGCCCCGGCUAACUUCGUGCCAGCAGCCGCGGUAAUACGAAGGGGGCUAGCGUUGUUCGGAUUUACUGGGCGUAAAGCGCACGUAGGCGGACUAUUAAGUCAGGGGUGAAAUCCCGGGGCUCAACCCCGGAACUGCCUUUGAUACUGGUAGUCUUGAGUUCGAGAGAGGUGAGUGGAAAUCCGAGUGUAGAGGUUAAAUUCGUAGAUAUUCGGAGGAACACCAGUGGCGAAGGCGGCUCACUGGCUCGAUACUGACGCUGAGGUGCGAAAGCGUGGGGAGCAAACAGGAUUAGAUACCCCUGUAGUCCCAUGA
rnacentral:rRNA from 1 species